rnacentral:rRNA from 1 species
CUUCGCCGGCGACCGGCGCACGGGUGCGUAACGCGUAUCGAACCUACCCCUUUACUCGGGGAACAGCCUUUGCCGAAAAGCCAAAGAUUAAUGCCCCGAUGUUCCGCGCUUGCCGCAUGGCAAAUUCGGCAAAGAUUUAUUGGUAAAGGAUGGCGAUGCGUCCCAUUAGUUAGUUGGCGGGGUUAACGGCCCACCAAGACGACGAUGGUAGGGGUUCUGAGAGGAAGGUCCCCCACAUUGGAACUGAGACACGGGUCCCAAAACUCCUACGGGAGGCAGCAGUGAGGAAUAUUGGUCAAUGGGCGGAAGCCUGAACCAGCCAAGUAGCGUGAGGGAUGACUGCCCUAUGGGUUGUAAACCUCUUUCAUAAGGGAAUAAAAUACGGGACGUGUCCUGUUUUUGCAUGUACCUUAUGAAUAAGGACCGGCUAAUUCCGUG